rnacentral:lncRNA from 1 species
GCGUAAUUAUAGAGUCGGGCUUCCAUUACCUGUGUUUGAAUUUCAUGCUCUUUAGACUCUUUAUGAGAAACGGAGAGCUGCUUUGAGUCUGUGAGGAAAACACGUUAAUUAUUCGAGGGUGGAUCCUGACACCUUUUCGGCCAGUUAAAAUGUUUCGCUGAGUUUACAGAUUCCACGAGAGGGAAGUCGUAUCCGUCCUCUCGAGUUUUAAUAGCAGGAAUCGCAGGUUUGCUACAUAAUCAAUCUCUCGCCUUGUUACUUUUACUCUCCUGUGCUACACUAAAAACAAAAAUCAGUCUCUUUUAGUGUUUUUGAUAUAAACCUGGUUGUGUGAUGAACUGGAGCAUUACAAUGAUUUAUAUCCCUUGAAUAAAUUAUCACUAUUACCGUGUUUUUUACAGUCGUCUGUAUGUUAUCGCCAUGAAACAGAGGAGUAAAGAAGAGGAGCCAAUGGGGUCGAAUUGUAAAGAGGAAAAAACAGAUGUAAGGCCAACACAGUGGAGUGCGAAGUAAGUAAAAAAUAGUUUAGAAAAAGCUGCAGAAAACAGACGAGGUCAAAGAGGAAAGUCCAAAACACAGGAGGGAAUCGUGGGAAUUUCUUUAACGCAAGAUCUGCAAAGUUUGGAGAGUACAAGCUGUACACUUUAAAGAGUUUUGUUUUUGCAAAAUGCAUUCAUCUUUGACAGAGUCUGCAUCCCAAAAUCCAGAGACUGUGGACAUGCUGAGACUUCUGGUGCUCGCAGUGGUCUGUGAUAUUUUCAUCGGCUACUAACUUUUCAGUUAUUUGCAGGAAAACAAAGAAAUAAGAGAUGAGUUACACCUGAAACCUUCCUGAGGAUAUUCAGUCACCGGAUGACAGACAGAGGUUUCUGAGAUAACAUUAGACUGAUCACUUAUAUCCGUUGCUAAGGGAUGCACCAGCAGCACCGAACCAAAGUUUUGCCAUCACUACACUUUGUAUUCUCACAUUGCGUGUGCUCUCGCAUCGAAUUCAGGUGUUACAGAAGCUCAAAGGGCACGUCUUGUAAACACACACAUACUGUGCAAACACACUGAGAGCUGGAACAACUUUACCUCCAACUCGCAUAACACAUUUACAGACAAGGCGUGACGACUAUCCCGCCUUAACAUGGCAGCAUGUGAAAGCCAAUUAACCUUACAGGCACCAUUUGCACAGGAUUGGUGUUGCAUUGGGAUCUCAUGAAUCAGCGUUUCGCGUGGCGCAUGUGCACAGGACAAGCAAAGUAUCGGUUGAUUCUGUCAUGGUCUGGAGUUAAACAAAAAGAGAAAGGACCUUAAAUGCAGAACAAACAAAAAAAGAUUCAUUAAAAAAGAACAAAAUAAAUCAAAAGGGCAAAAUCCACAAAAAAUCACUGGAGCUAAAUCACAAGGAGAAAAUGGGGACACAGUCAUACGCACACACCGAAAAAAAUACACGAUGAAUUAACAAAAACAGAGGGGAAGACAGAGACUAUAUAGGGAAACGAGCAACAGGUGAGGCAGACGAGACACAGGUGAAACUCAUGGGUGAUUAACGGAGGAGGGAAAAUGAGGGAAGAAAAAUCAGACUAGAAACACAAGGAAUCACUGAAAACUGAUAUAAAGAAUGAAACACUGAAAACAUGAGGGAAACAAGGUCAAACACAAACUGAAAACUCACAAGACAAGACUACAGGGGAACAGAAACAAAAAAAGCACUAAAAUAAACGACACGUGGAGAAAACUGAAUUAACAAAACAUAUCAUGACAGAACAAUACGCACAUACUGAAGCUAAGCCAAGAGACUUCCCGCUAAAGCUUUGAAAGCAAACAAUAGUUGAUCUGGAGUAGUGAUGGGAAGAAGAGUUCUUUUGACUGUACUGAAUCUUUAGAAUCUGUUCAUUAAAACGAUUCGUUCAAAAGAUUCGUUCACUGAAUCAGUCAGUGCUUCGGAGCCGGUGCAGUACACCAGUGAGUGACACAGCGGCGAGUUCGUUCAUUGAACGUCGUUUGGAAGUAGUUUGUUUCGUUCACAGUUUGACUGAUACAUUUUGUUCACUGACUGACUGAUACAUAUCGUUCAUUUGCUGUGAGUGAAUCAUGAGACUCCGCCCACCUGCUCGCUCGCUGACUGGCUGUGCGUUGUUCGCCAAAGAGUCAAAGGCGGCAGUUCCACUCCCGACCAGCACGCCAGGCUCACAGCUGAGCAUAACUGAACUGAGAAAGGAACGAAACAGGUCUCAGAGUUCAUUCUUUUAAACGAAAUGUUCAUGAAUGACACAACACUAAUUUGUAGCAACAAAGACAACCCAAGAACAGACGAGUGUUUCCACCAAAUAUCAAAUCAUAUCACAAACCCUACAUCCCUCCUUUCUGCAUUCAAAGUAGAGUACACCUGACCUUGACUUACACUCCAUGAAACCCCAAAGCGCUUUGUUAGCCCAACUAAAAGGCAGUGGUUUGAUUAUUCAGACGAUGCUGCACGUUAAGUGUCUCAUAAAUGAAGCGAGGCGAAAUCCUAAUUCAGAAAAAUAUCAGUCAAGUGGUUUCAGUCGCAACACUUUGAGGUAUCCUGUCUUUCAAAGAUGAUACUUGGCAGCUCAGUGGGAUUCAAAAGCCUGUGUCCUUGCUGAACAAUGGGAGGGGAAUAUUGAGUUUGGCCCUAUUACAAAUUCACCUUUUUUCCCCUUUUUUUUUUUUUACUGCUAUAGAUAAUGCUCAUUGAUCUGUGAAAUUAUGAGCUACCAUUAGAAAGACCCUGACGCAUAAUUCAGGCCGCCUGAACUCUCAAUCACUCAGCCGAAAACCUGAAGCCCAAACGGUAAUUUACAUCACAAUGCUGCACAUUGAUUCAGAUGGAGAGGUGUGUUAAGAGAUUCUUAACAACUGUAGACACCCUCAGGUCUGCAGAAGGUGUUAUGAUUAAAACUGUCAAAGAAAUUGAAACUCAGUCGACUGAAAAAGGAACUCCUGCUAAUCAAUGCGAGUGUGUGUGUUUAAGAUUAAAAUUUAAUGCUUAUUGUCUGGUGCAGCUGAUCAAAGGAGGAACUCCGCCAUUAAUGAUUUAGGACAGAUGCAUGCUGGGAAUGUGAACCACACUGAGAGGGUAAAAACAGAUUAGACCACAGUGCCCUGAAUUACCCCUGAUAUGCUAAUACAUAAGAAAUGAUCAAUAUUGCAAUAAAAAGGCCUUUAACAGACACUAUACAUGCCCCAAUAGUAUAUUCAGAAGCAUGUAGGACGUCCCCAGUGAGGGUAGGAUGGAGCGGGAGAUCGACAGGCGGAUCAGAGCGGCGUCAGCAGUGAUGUGGACGCUUAACCGAUCUGUCGUGGUGGAGAAAGAGCUGAGCCGCAAGGCGAGACUCUCGAUUUACUGGUUGAUCUACAUGCCGAUCCUCACCUAUGGUCAUGAACUUUGGGUAAUGACCGAAAGAACGAGAUCGUGGUUACGAUAGCCCAAAUGGGUUUCCCUUCGCAAGGUGGCCGGGCUCAGCCUGAGAGAUAGGGUAAGGAGCUCGGACACUCGAGAGGAGUCAGCUGAGGUGGCUCGGGCAUCUGGUUAGGACGCCUUCUGGACACCUCCCGUUAGAGGUGUUCCAGACAUGUCCCACCGGGAGGAGACCUUGUGGCCGGCCCAGGACCAGGUGGAGGGAUUACCUCUCUCACCUGGGAUUAAUUUCACAAGCUCCACCAGCUCCUUCCUGGGAAUCUCCCCGGAGGAGCUGGUGGAAGUGUCUGGGGUGAGGGCCGUCUGGGCCUUCCUCCUGAAGCUGUUGCCCCCGUGUUCCUAAUGUUCCUGAAAAUAAAGAUUUUGGAUAUACGUGUUUUUUUUUGGACAGACACAAUAUAGAAAUGUAUUUAAAGUACAUAUACAGUAAAAUACAACAAAAGUCAUUUGCCAACUAAUCCAUCUAUUUUUACAAUUGUCUGGAAUAGUUUCAGCAAAAAAUACAAUAUUUAACCUCUUGUGUUUGCAAUAGGCCUGAAACGAGAGCCACUCUUACUAAAGCAGCAACUAAAAGUAACACCGCGGCUUUUAACUUCCAAUUCUAUAACGAGUUGGCAGACAGUUUUUGGUAGAGGUGAUGCCAAGGGCAAAGUUACACACUUCAUAAUUUCCACUCUCUAGUUUACCUCGCAGUCAUUUCACAAAAUUUUCCACAGUUUGCUACAGGUGAGCGUAAAGAACUAUGUUUUUAUGAAGCCUUACCGCAACCCAUAGUCAUCAUGACGAGAGCCCACCCUGCCCAUCCCCCA